rnacentral:lncRNA from 1 species
UUAAACCGGCAAGUUUGCUUCAAACCAAUGUCAUCUUCAUCAAUCAGCUCAUUCAAAGUUGAAGCCAAGAAAGGGGAGUGGUUGCCUGGUUUACCUUCACCGGCUUACCUCACUGGAAGGUACAUUCUUUUAGUUAUACUAUUUGAUACAAAAUAAAGUGAAGAUACUAAUUCAGUAUCUCAGACAAUGGCAUUUGCACCAAAAUAUAGAUUAUUUUUUUAACAUAUGAAAACUCUUGUUUUGAAGCAAUAUCUAAUAUCUCAAUUAGCUAUUUGGUGGGUCACACUGAUUAUUUUAUUCAUUGGUAUUUAAAGGAAAUAUACAUAAUCAGCUAUCAGCAGUAGAUUAAACCAAAGGACGUGGUGGUUAGAGUUGAAUUCGGAAUUAAACUUUGACCAGUAGUGUAUAAGCGAAAAUAGAAUCAAUUAUUGUGAAUCAAAUCUGACAACCAAUGAUUUAGCUAGUUCGGUUUGAUUCUUAACAUUGGUUAUAACAUUAUGGAAAUGCAGUCUUCCAGGUGACAAUGGAUUCGACCCUCUUGGAUUGGCGGAGGAUCCGGAGAACUUGAGAUGGUUCGUGCAAGCAGAGCUGGUGAAUGGCCGCUGGGCAAUGUUGGGUGUUGCAGGGAUGCUUUUGCCUGAAGUAUUCACCAAGAUUGGGCUGAUCAAUGCUCCCCAAUGGUACGAUGCUGGAAAAUCCGAAUACUUCGCAUCCUCCUCCACCCUAUUUGUGAUCGAGUUCAUAUUGUUCCACUACGUCGAGAUCAGACGGUGGCAAGACAUCAAGAACCCAGGAUGUGUGAACCAAGAUCCCAUCUUCAAGCAAUACAGCCUGCCCCCACACGAGUGCG